AUUGAACGCUGGCGGCAUGCCUAACACAUGCAAGUCGAGCGGAUGAAGGGAGCUUGCUCCUGGAUUCAGCGGCGGACGGGUGAGUAAUGCCUAGGAAUCUGCCUGGUAGUGGGGGAUAACGUCCGUAAACGGGCGCUAAUACCGCAUACGUCCUGAUGGAGAAAGUGGGGGAUCUUCGGACCUCACGCUAUCAGAUGAGCCUAGGUCGGAUUAGCUAGUUGGUGGGGUAAAGGCCUACCAAGGCGACGAUCCGUAACUGGUCUGAGAGGAUGAUCAGUCACACUGGAACUGAGACACGGUCCAGACUCCUACGGGAGGCAGCAGUGGGGAAUAUUGGACAAUGGGCGAAAGCCUGAUCCAGCAAUGCCGCGUGUGUGAAGAAGGUCUUCGGAUUGUAAAGCACUUUAAGUUGGGAGGAAGGAAAGUAAGUUAAUACCUGGCUGUUUUGACGUUACCAACAGAAUAAGCAACGGCUAACUUCGUG
rnacentral:rRNA from 1 species